UGACGCUGGCGGUAGGCUUAACACAUGCAAGUCGUGCGAGAAAGUAUCUUCGGAUAUGAGUAGAGCGGCGGACGGGUGAGUAACGCGUAGGAAUCUACCUAGUAGAAGGGGAUAGCCCGGGGAAACUCGGAUUAAUACCGUAUACCUCCUUAGGGAGAAAGAGGGCCUCUCUUGAAGCUUUCGCUAUUAGAUGAGCCUGCGUAAGAUUAGCUUGUUGGUAAGGUAAUGGCUUACCAAGGCUACGAUCUUUAGCUGGUCUGAGAGGACGAUCAGCCACAUUGGGACUGAGACACGGCCCAGACUCCUACGGGAGGCAGCAGUGGGGAAUAUUGGACAAUGGGCGCAAGCCUGAUCCAGCCAUACCGCGUGUGUGAAGAAGGCUCUAGGGUUGUAAAGCACUUUAAGCAGGGAGAAAAAGUUAUAAAUUAAUACCUUAUAACCAUGAUGUUACCUGCAGAAUAAGCACCGGCUAAUUCCGUGCCAGCAGCCGCGGUAAUACGGAAGGUGCAAGCGUUAAUCGGAAUUACUGGGCGUAAAGCGCGCGUAGGUGGUUUGUUAAGUUGGAUGUGAAAGCCCUGGGCUCAACCUAGGAACUGCAUCCAAAACUAACUCACUAGAGUACGAUAGAGGGAGGUAGAAUUCAUAGUGUAGCGGUGGAAUGCGUAGAUAUUAUGAAGAAUACCAGUGGCGAAGGCGGCCUCCUGGAUCUGUACUGACACUAAGGUGCGAAAGCGUGGGUAGCGAACAGGAUUAGAUACCCUGGUAGUCCACGCCGUAAACGAUGACAACUAGCUGUUGGAAGACAAUGUCUUUCAGUGGCGCAGCUAACGUUUUAAGUUGUCCGCCUGGGGAGUACGGCCGC
rnacentral:rRNA from 1 species